rnacentral:rRNA from 1 species
UACGAAGGGGGCUAGCGUUGCUCGGAAUCACUGGGCGUAAAGGGCGCGUAGGCGGCCAUUCAAGUCGGAGGUGAAAGCCCAGGGCUCAACCCUGGAAUUGCCUUCGAUACUGUUUGGCUAGAGACCGGAAGAGGUAAGUGGAACUGCGAGUGUAGAGGUGAAAUUCGUAGAUAUUCGGAGGAACACCAGUGGCGAAGGCGGCUCACUGGUCCAUUACUGACGCUGAGGUGCGAAAGCGUGGGGAGCAAACAGG